UCCCAUGUGGCUAAGUUGGUAGAGCAUGGUGUUUGCAACGCGAGGGUUGUGGGUUCGAUUCCCACGGGGGAC
rnacentral:tRNA from 1 species